rnacentral:rRNA from 1 species
ACGGGUGAGUAACGCGUGGGAAUCUACCGUGCCCUGCGGAAUAGCUCCGGGAAACUGGAAUUAAUACCGCAUACGCCCUACGGGGGAAAGAUUUAUCGGGGUAUGAUGAGCCCGCGUUGGAUUACCUAGUUGGUGGGGUAAAGGCCUACCAAGGCGACGAUCCAUAGCUGGUCUGAGAGGAUGAUCAGCCACAUUGGGACUGAGACACGGCCCAAACUCCUACGGGAGGCAGCAGUGGGGAAUAUUGGACAAUGGGCGCAAGCCUGAUCCAGCCAUGCCGCGUGAGUGAUGAAGGCCUUAGGGUUGUAAAGCUCUUUCACCGGAGAAGAUAAUGACGGUAUCCGGAGAAGAAGCCCCGGCUAACUUCGUGCCAGCAGCCGCGGUAAUACGAAGGGGGCUAGCGUUGUUCGGAAUUACUGGGCGUAAAGCGCACGUAGGCGGAUAUUUAAGUCAGGGGUGAAAUCCCAGAGCUCAACUCUGGAACUGCCUUUGAUACUGGGUAUCUUGAGUAUGGAAGAGGUAAGUGGAAUUCCGAGUGUAGAGGUGAAAUUCGUAGA